rnacentral:rRNA from 1 species
ACGGGAGGCAGCAGUGAGGAAUAUUGGUCAAUGGACGCAAGUCUGAACCAGCCAUGCCGCGUGAAGGAUUAAGGCCCUAUGGGUUGUAAACUUCUUUUGUACGAGAGCAAUAAGGUCCACGUGUGGAUCGAUGAGAGUAUCGUACGAAUAAGCAUCGGCUAACUCCGUGCCAGCAGCCGCGGUAAUACGGAGGAUGCGAGCGUUAUCCGGAUUUAUUGGGUUUAAAGGGUGCGUAGGCGGCUUAUUAAGUCAGCGGUGAAAUGCAAAUGCUUAACAUUUGACGUGCCGUUGAUACUGGUGAGCUUGAAUGCGGAUGCCGUGGGAGGAAUGUGUGGUGUAGCGGUGAAAUGCAUAGAUAUUACUCAGAACACCGAUUGCGAAGGCAUCUCACGAAUCCGUCAUUGACGCUGAGGCACGAAAGCGUGGGGAUCAAACAGGAUUAGAUACCCUGGUA